GCUUAACACAUGCAAGUCGAGCGGUAAGGCCCUUCGGGGUACACGAGCGGCGAACGGGUGAGUAACACGUGGGUGAUCUGCCUCGCACUUCGGGAUAAGCCUGGGAAACUGGGUCUAAUACCGGAUAUGACCUGCUGUCGCAUGGCGGUGGGUGGAAAGAUUUAUCGGUGCGAGAUGGGCCCGCGGCCUAUCAGCUUGUUGGUGGGGUAAUGGCCUACCAAGGCGACGACGGGUAGCCGGCCUGAGAGGGCGACCGGCCACACUGGGACUGAGACACGGCCCAGACUCCUACGGGAGGCAGCAGUGGGGAAUAUUGCACAAUGGGCGAAAGCCUGAUGCAGCGACGCCGCGUGAGGGAUGACGGCCUUCGGGUUGUAAACCUCUUUCGACAGGGACGAAGCGCAAGUGACGGUACCUGUAGAAGAAGCACCGGCCAACUACGUGCCAGCAGCCGCGGUAAUACGUAGGGUGCGAGCGUUGUCCGGAAUUACUGGGCGUAAAGAGCUUGUAGGCGGUUUGUCGCGUCGUCCGUGAAAACUUGGGGCUCAACCCCAAGCUUGCGGGCGAUACGGGCAGACUUGAGUACUGCAGGGGAGACUGGAAUUCCUGGUGUAGCGGUGAAAUGCGCAGAUAUCAGGAGGAACACCGGUGGCGAAGGCGGGUCUCUGGGCAGUAACUGACGCUGAGAAGCGAAAGCGUGGGUAGCGAACAGGAUUAGAUACCCUGGUAGUCCACGCCGUAAACGGUGGGUACUAGGUGUGGGUUUCCUUCCACGGGAUCCGUGCCGUAGCUAACGCAUUAAGUACCCCGCCUGGGGAGUACGGCCGCAAGGCUAAAACUCAAAGGAAUUGACGGGGGCCCGCACAAGCGGCGGAGCAUGUGGAUUAAUUCGAUGCAACGCGAAGAACCUUACCUGGGUUUGACAUACACCGGAAACCUGCAGAGAUGUAGGCCCCCUUGUGGUCGGUGUACAGGUGGUGCAUGGCUGUCGUCAGCUCGUGUCGUGAGAUGUUGGGUUAAGUCCCGCAACGAGCGCAACCCUUAUCUUAUGUUGCCAGCGCGUAAUGGCGGGGACUCGUGAGAGACUGCCGGGGUCAACUCGGAGGAAGGUGGGGACGACGUCAAGUCAUCAUGCCCCUUAUGUCCAGGGCUUCACACAUGCUACAAUGGCCGGUACAGAGGGCUGCGAUACCGUGAGGUGGAGCGAAUCCCUUAAAGCCGGUCUCAGUUCGGAUCGGGGUCUGCAACUCGACCCCGUGAAGUUGGAGUCGCUAGUAAUCGCAGAUCAGCAACGCUGCGGUGAAUACGUUCCCGGGCCUUG
rnacentral:rRNA from 1 species